CCCAUACAAAGAUUCAUACAAAUCAGCUAUCACAUGAGUCCUCAAUUGAAAUUGUACAACUUUCUCUUUCCUUAAUACAAAUUUUCUUUAAUUCGUAUGCUAUCCUUUACAACUCAAUCUAAGUUCUUCUUCCCGUACUACUUCGUAGUACCAUUCAUUCAUAGCAUUAGCUAUAAAUCAUUCAUUGUUUAACAGCUCAUAUGUUACUACGAUUUACUAUGAUCACGUGGUGAUCUUCUUAUCCUUCUCUUUACGAUUAUAGUCUUAGGUACUCAUACCUAAGGUUUAUAACCUAUCAGCUCUAAUACCAACUUGUAACGCCCCGAAAUCCGGUCUAUCUUCACACCCGGAUUCCGUGCGUCACGAGUACAUCAUUCUUCCAAACAUACAUCAUUAUAUACUGAAAUAUAAUAACAUACAUUCUAAAUUC
rnacentral:lncRNA from 1 species